UCCGUAGGUGAACCUGCGGAGGGAUCAUUACACAAAUAUGAAGGCGGGCUGGAAUCUCUCGGGGUUACAGCCUUGCUGAAUUAUUCACCCUUGUCUUUUGCGUACUUCUUGUUUCCUUGGUGGGUUCGCCCACCACUAGGACAAACAUAAACCUUUUGUAAUUGCAAUCAGCGUCAGUAACAAAUUAAUAAUUACAACUUUCAACAACGGAUCUCUUGGUUCUGGCAUCGAUGAAGAACGCAGCGAAAUGCGAUAAGUAGUGUGAAUUGCAGAAUUCAGUGAAUCAUCGAAUCUUUGAACGCACAUUGCGCCCUUUGGUAUUCCAAAGGGCAUGCCUGUUCGAGCGUCAUUUGUACCCUCAAGCUUUGCUUGGUGUUGGGCGUCUUGUCUCUAGCUUUGCUGGAGACUCGCCUUAAAGUAAUUGGCAGCCGGCCUACUGGUUUCGGAGCGCAGCACAAGUCGCACUCUCUAUCAGCAAAGGUCUAGCAUCCAUUAAGCCUUUUUCAACUUUGA
rnacentral:rRNA from 1 species